UCACGAAGUCAGGAGUUCGAGACCAGCCUGGCCAACAUAAUGAAACCCCCUCUCUACUCACAAAUACAAAAUUUAGCUGGGCAUGGUGGCACACGCCUGUAGUCCCAGCUACUUGGGAGGCUGAGGCAGGAGAAUCACUUGAACCUAGGAGGCAGAGGUUGUGGUGAGCCAAGACUGCACCGCUGCACUCCAGCCUGGGCAACAGAGCAAGACUCCGUUUCAAAAAAAAAAGAAACCCUACUCUUACUAUGUCUUUUGCUUCACCUCCUUUUUCUACCUCCUACUCCUUGUUUUCUCUAAGAUUACCUUCCAGCUGAUAGCUUCAAAAUUUCCACAUUUUCAAAAUGUCUAAAAAGAUCUAUUAGAAGUAAAUAUUGUAUGUGUACAUUCUGAAAUUUUAUUUAAGAACCUGUUCUUUUUAUGUGGUCCCUGAAAAUAAUUUUUCAACAGAAAAAAAAACUUUGUAAGUAGUUUUAAAAGAGACAAAAACCUCACAAUGCCAAUAUAAAUGAAGCACGAAGAUUCAGGUCAACAUCUGACACCCUCAUUUACAAGCAAAGAUCAGAGAAUAUAUAGUAACUAGCCACAGUUUCCUAUGAUCUUUUCUCUUUAAUGUGACCUUGUUAAACACUGAUUUUUCAUUCAGUGAAAUAUACCACAACAGUGAUGGCAGCAGCAGCCUGCCUGGAGUGGGCACUGUGAAGAUGCCAGCUGCAGUGGGAAAGGCACAGCUGGGGCUGUACGCUCCACGGAGCCGGCAGGUGUCAGCUGGAGCCAGGAACAGGCCUGCCCAUGGACCAAUCAGUAUGCACUUCCUCCCCUCUGAAGCCCAUAAAAGCCCUGGACUCAGCCAGACUCCGGCAGACAUGGGGAUGACCUGCCUGUGUAGGGGAGCUACCCACUGUGGAUCUCCUCUCAGCUGAGAGCUGAGUAGAUGUCCGGACGACCUGCCUGUGGAAAGCAGCUACCCACUUCAGUCUCUUGAGAGCUGUACUGUCACUCAAUAAAGCUUCUCUUCGCUGUACUCAC